rnacentral:tRNA from 1 species
GGCUUUAUAUUCAAUAUUAGAGAUGAUAUUAGACUGCAAAUCUGAAGGAGUAGAAAAAGAUUAAAUCUACUAAGGCUU